rnacentral:misc_RNA from 1 species
AAGCGUUAGUUUGGCCGUUAAUUUUGAUUGUUCACAAGUUUAAUUGUCGAAAUAUCUUUUAAUUUCUAAAGAAUAAGUAAUUAUUAUGGUGAUUAAAGUGAUCAGGAUGGCCCAAGUGUCAUUCAGGGCCCAAAAUCGGCGGUGAUGGCGUUGAUAGGAAGCCAAACUGGAAAUUCGGAAUUUGCAACGGCGUUCCUCUCUGUGGACGCUCUUUCUCUAAUAUGACCUAGGUGGAGAGCCGCUUCAGGAAUUGCUGAAGAAUUUCAGAAAGAAAAAAACUUGACUUUGGCAAAGUCGCAGGUGAGGUCUUAUCGCGUCGUUUCGUUCGACGUUAUCCAUCAGCAUUAGCGCCGUACCUUGACAAUAUUAGCAGCUUUUUCUAAUUUUCCUUUUCUGUUAUUUUUGUUACUUUGGACGC